GUUAUCCGGAAUUAUUGGGCGUAAAGGGCUCGUAGGCGGUUCGUCGCGUCCGGUGUGAAAGUCCAUCGCUUAACGGUGGAUCCGCGCCGGGUACGGGCGGGCUUGAGUGCGGUAGGGGAGACUGGAAUUCCCGGUGUAACGGUGGAAUGUGUAGAUAUCGGGAAGAACACCAAUGGCGAAGGCAGGUCUCUGGGCCGUUACUGACGCUGAGGAGCGAAAGCGUGGGGAGCGAACAGGAUUAGAUACCCUGGUAGUCCACGCCGUAAACGGUGGAUGCUGGAUGUGGGGCCCGUUCCACGGGUUCCGUGUCGGAGCUAACGCGUUAAGCAUCCCGCCUGGGGAGUACGGCCGCAAGGCUAAAACUCAAAGAAAUUGACGGGGGCCCGCACAAGCGGCGGAGCAUGCGGAUUAAUUCGAUGCAACGCGAAGAACCUUACCUGGGCUUGACAUGUUCCCGACGGUCGUAAAGAUACGGCUUCCCUUCGGGGCGGGUUCACAGGUGGUGCAUGGUCGUC
rnacentral:rRNA from 1 species